rnacentral:rRNA from 1 species
GAUGAACGCUGGCGGCGUGACUAAUACAUGCAAGUCGAGCGAAGCGGGGACGGGUGAGUAACACGUGGAUAACCUCCUAUAAGACUGGGAUAAAUUCGGGAAACCGGAGCUAAAUCGGAUACUUAUAGAUGAAUCCACGCUGCAUUAGCUAGAUGGUAAGGUAACGGCUUACCAAGGCAACGAUGCAUAUCAGACCUGAGAGGGGGAUCGGCCAAACUGGAACUGAGAACCGGUCCAGAUUCCUACUGGAGGCAGCAGGAGGGAAUGUUCCGCAAUGGGCGAAAGCCUGACGGAGCAACGCCGCGUGAGUGAUGAAGGUCGUCGGAUCGAAAAACUCUGUUAUUAGGGAAGCGGUACCUAAUCAGAAAGCCACGGCUAACUACGUGCCAGCAGCCGCGGAAUAC